CACGUAGGGAGGCGAGCGAUUGUCCGGAAUGCAUUAGGGCGUAAAGAGCGCGGCAGGCGGCUUGGCAAGUCGGGGUGUAGAAAUCCCGGGGCUCAACCCCGGGACUGCAUUUCGAAUACUGUCAGGCUAGAGGUAGGUAGGGGAGAUCGGAAUUCCUGGUGUAGCGGUGAAAUGCGCAGAUAUCAGGAGGAACACCGGUGGCGAAGGCGGAUCUCUGGGCCUUACCUGACGCUCAGGCGCGGAAAGCUAGGGGAGCGAACAGG
rnacentral:rRNA from 1 species